CAAGCCGUAAAUGAUGCUCGCUAGAUGUUUGUUCCGUUCUCACGGGAUGAGUGUCGUAACCUAACGGGUUAAGCGAGCCGCCUGAGUAGUAUAGUCGCAAGGCUGAAACUCAAAGGGAUAGGCGGGGGAACACACAAGCAGUGGAUUGCCUCGAUUAAUUGGAUAAUAAGCCAAGAAUCUUACCUAGGCUUGACAUCCCGAGAACCCCUUCGAAAGUUGGGGGUGCCCGCAAGGGAGCUCGGUGACAGGUGC
rnacentral:rRNA from 1 species